CAAAACAGUAAGCCAAAAUUAAUAUUUCCUCCUUUUAAGAUGUUUAUCUCAGAUAAUUUGUCACAGUGAGAGAAAGCUGAAUGACACACACCCCUCUGGCACAACAUGGGCAUCACACUGAUUUGUCAUCUCUGAGGUACCCAUGGGGAAGAGAAUGCCCUGGAAUUGCUUCAGGCGAGAUCA
rnacentral:lncRNA from 1 species